rnacentral:rRNA from 1 species
UACGUAGGGGGCUAGCGUUGUCCGGAAUCAUUGGGCGUAAAGAGCGUGUAGGCGGUCCGGUAAGUCUGAUGUGAAAUCCCUGGGCUCAACUCAGGAACUGCAUUGGAAACUGGCGGGCUAGAGUACCGGAGAGGGAAGCGGAAUUCCUGGUGUAGCGGUGAAAUGCGUAGAUACCAGGAGGAACACCGGUGGCGAAGGCGGCUUCCUGGCCGAGUACUGACGCUGAGGCACGAAAGCGUGGGGAGCGAACGGG